rnacentral:rRNA from 1 species
CGAGUUACGUUAAGUAGCAAGGUUAAGCACUUAAGGUGCGGAGCCGUAGCGAAAGCGAGUUUUAACUGAGCGUUCAGUUACUUGACGUAGACCCGAAACCGGGCGACCUACCCAUGAGCAGGAUGAAGCGAAAGUAAAAUUUCGUGGAGGUCCGAACCCACGAGCGUUGAAAAGCUCGGGGAUGACUUGUGGGUAGCGGUGAAAUUCCAAUCGAGCCCGGAGAUAGCUGGUUCUCCCCGAAAUAGCUUUAGGGCUAGCCUCAAGGUGAGAGAUACGGAGGUAGAGCACUGAAUGUCCUAGGGGGUAUUGCCCCUACCGAAGACUAUCAAACUCCGAAUGCCGUCAUCUUAUACUUGGGAGUCAGACUGUGGGUGAUAAGAUUCAUAGUCGAAAGGGCAACAGCCCAGAUCGUCAGCUAAGG